ACAAACAUGAGACGUCCAAAGGACGUUCAGAUUAUGUCCAUAUCGGGUCGGUCGGUCCAGAACCUAAUCUGCACCUAAUCUGCACGUCUAAACGACGUGCAGAUCCAGUACAGUAUUUGGACGUCUGACUACGACGUCUUUUGGACGUUGAUAUGCAGUUCAAUAUUUGAGGGUCCGUUCUUGGACGUCAUUUAGACGUUCAAAACAGGUUCAGAAAAAAAAUAUAAAAACUUAUGCAAUAAAAACGACAAAUGAGUUCUGAUUCAAAACAAUGUAACAUGACGUUUUUUUUUUUUGUGAAAAUUCUUUAAGGUGAUAAAAUAUGUUAUAUUUUUAUGAAUGAAUUCACAACGCGUGCCAAAAUCUACUGCAUUUCUUUUGUGUAAUUUGCAAAUUAAACCAAAUUCAAGUGUGAUUUACAAAAAUAAUCAACAUUGCAAUUUUAAGUUUAACCACAAGGGUGUGUAAAAGCUUAGGUGGCGAGGUGGCGCGUGAUCUUUUUUUGCACGUGAUCAACAGACGUAAUUAAGCAUCGCCAGCGUAAACGUACUCAACGGACACAACCUGCUGUGAACAGGACCUACAUACACCCCAAAGGCUCUUUUCAGAGCCAUUUGACCAAGCAUCUUUGUACAUGCCGGUUUUCCUUCAGUAGUGCCAGUUUUCCUAAGAUUUUACCUCGUCCUCCACUGCCUCCAGUAAUUCCUGGUUUUAAGGUGGAGUAAUGGAGUAAAGAUGCAACGGAGCAGCUGAUAAGAAAACAUGCUUAAGACCAUCUUAAACGUGCACCAUCAAGAAAGGGAGGGGUACACAUUAAAAAAAAUUUUUAACAUUACUUUUUGAAUAGAUGCACUUUUUAAAAAUUUUUUUAAAGUAUAUAUAUUGUUUAUUUAUGUUGUUUUUAAAUGUUAUAAUUGUAUUGUUUUUAUUUGUUGUAUUUAGCUUUUAUGCAUUUGUACACACACAAACACACAACCACAUUUAUACAAAAUAAGUUUUGAAUAAAUACGUUUAAUGGAGUGCAAAGUGUGAGUCUUUAUUUAGCUAAAUGAUGUCUAAAAUGAGUCUGCAGUUGACGUUAUAAGACGUUGAAAAUAUGUCCACAAUGACCACAUUUCAACUAAAUUUGGACCUUAAAAAGACGUCCUAUGGAUGUCAUUAUUGGACGUCCAAAAGACGUCAGAAAAAGACGUCGGAAAACCUUUCAUUCUGCACCCUGAUGGGGACGUCUUUUCAACGUCUUUAUUGGACGUCCAAAAGACGUCAGAAAAAGACGUCGGAAAACCUUUCAUUCUGCACCCUGAUGGGGACGUCUUUUCAACGUCUUUAUUGGACGUCCAAAAGACGUCAGAAAAAGACGUCGGAAAACCUUUCAUUCUGCACCCUGAUGGGGACGUCUUUUCAACGUCCGACAAAGAUGUUGAAAAGACGUCUUUUGGACAUACUUUUGCUCAGUGGG